UUGAAAUACCGGUUCCCGUACGGUCAGCGAAGUUAAGCAAGGUCGAGCUUGGUCCGUAUCUAGAUAGGUGACCGAUUAGGAAUUCCAGGUGCAGCAAG